AGAGCCUUACGGGACGCAGCAGUGGGGAAUAUUGCACAAUGGGGGAAACCCUGAUGCAGCGACGCCGCGUGAGUGAAGAAGUAUUUCGGUACGUAAAGCUCUAUCAGCAGGGAAGAAAGAAAGUCCUUUGGACUUUGGACGGUACCUGACCAAGAAGCCCCGGCUAACUACGUGCCAGCAGCCGCGGUAAUACGUAGGGGGCAAGCGUUAUCCGGAUUUACUGGGUGUAAAGGGAGCGUAGACGGCAGGGCAAGUCUGGAGUGAAAGGCGGGGGCUCAACACCCGGACUGAUCUGGAAAAUGGCA
rnacentral:rRNA from 1 species